rnacentral:rRNA from 1 species
UACGUAGGGGGCAAGCGUUGUCCGGAUUUACUGGGCGUAAAGAGCGCGUAGGCGGAAAUUUAAGCGUGGCCUGAAAGCCCCCGGCUCAACCGGGGAGUGCGGCUGCGAACUGGGUUUCUUGAGGACGAUAGAGGAGAGUGGAAUUCCUGGUGUAGCGGUGAAAUGCGUAGAUAUCAGGAGGAACACCAAUUGCGAAGGCAGCUCGCUGGGACGUAACUGACGCUGAGACGCGAAAGCGUGGGGAGCAAACAGG